UACGUAGGGUGCGAGCGUUAAUCGGAAUUACUGGGCGUAAAGGGCGCGUAGGCGGCCUUCUAAGUCAGACGUGAAAUCCCCCGGCUUAACCUGGGAACUGCGUCUGAUACUGGAUGGCUUGAGUAUGGGAGAGGGAUGUAGAAUUCCAGGUGUAGCGGUGAAAUGCGUAGAUAUCUGGAGGAAUACCGGUGGCGAAGGCGGCAUCCUGGACCAUUACUGACGCUGAGGAACGAAAGCCAGGGGAGCAAACGGG
rnacentral:rRNA from 1 species